rnacentral:lncRNA from 1 species
AGAUGUCCGCUUCCUAAUCCUGGAAACUGUGAAUAUGUUCCCUUAUGUGGCAAAGAAGAAGUGAAAUUGCAGAGAGAAGGGGGCUAAUUCGCUGACCUUAAGGUAAGGACGUUAGGCUGGAUGAUCCAGGUGGGCCCAAUGUCAUCAUAAGCAUUCUUAAAAGUGGAAGAUGGAGGCGGAGUAGGCCAGAGUGAUGUGCUGAGACGGGAGAAGGACCUAGUCUGCCACUGCUGACUUUGAAGAUUGAGGAAGAGUGGGAAGGGGCUCAAAGCAAGGAAUGUGGGGCCUCUAGAAGCUGAAAAAGGCAAGGAAACAGAUUUUCCACGAGAGCCUCCGGAAAGGAACCAAGCCUGUAGACACCUUGAUUUUAGCUCGGUGACAGCCCAGGUUGAUUUGGCCUGGAAUGUGGUGAUUUCUUUUAAUUUGCACACUGGAUUUUUUUUUUUCAGCCAAGAAAAUUUUCCUUUGGUGCCUCUUUUAAGACCAGUGUUCCAAGGAGCAUACUUUAGGAAAAUGUGCUUCUUUGUACUCGUGAUGAUAUUCUAAAAGCAUUGGGCUGAAUAAUGACGAAGAUUUGUGAAAUUUAACAACUGGUUAUUUGUCACAUAACAAUUUUUCAAAGUUGACCUACCUGACUACUUGUUUCUUUGUCUUCUUUCGUUUUGUGAGGAAGAUUGGCCCCGAGCCAACAUCUGUUGCUAAUCUUCCUCUUUUUGCUUGAGGAAGAUUGUCGCUGAGAUAACAUCUGUGCCAACCUCCCUCCAUUUCAUGUGGGACACUGCCAAAGCAUGGCUUGACGAGCAGUGCUAGAUCCGUGCCCAGGAUCUGAACCCAUGAACCCCUGGCCACUGAAGUGGAAUGUGCAAACUCAACCAGUAUGCCACCAGGCCGGCUCCUUAUUUGUCUUUGGAGGUAUAAAAAAUAAAUAAAAGCAAAGAAGACUCUGACAAAAAUGUCUUCAUAUAGGAUUACAACUGUUAAUAUCUUCUCAUAUUUUAUUAUAUAUGAAGUAGAGAUAAAGUUUACCUCAACCCUGCCCUCAAGCCUUCAAUCUCAUUCUCCCUUUCCAGUCUCAGAGGUAACCAUUAUCAAGUUAAUCAGUACCAUUCUUUUUUCAUACAUUUUCAUACAUAUGUGUAUUCAUAACAUCUGUACAUAAUGAGUAUAUAUACACACAUAAAUGCUAUAUGCAUGCAUGUAAAUAGUACACUUUUAUGCCUUUUUUACUAAUCUAUAUGAAUAUACUAGAUUUAGUUUGUUUUGUUUAAUAGCUGCAUAACAUUUUAUCUUGUGUAUCACUUUUGGACGUAAGCGUUGUAUAUUGUAUAUCUCUCCCUCCAACAAUUAUAAGUAUUGAUGAAUAAACAUGUUUUCAUGUGCACGUCUGUGAGAGCUCUUUGAGGUCAUCCCUCCAGGGUUGUCAUCACUGAGGUAUAAGAUAUGAGGUAUAUUUACGUUUUUCCUAGAUACUGCUGAUUGCAUCCCAAGGUGGCUGUAACAGUUUUCAUUUCCAUCAGCCGAGUGUGGGCGUACCAUUUCUCCUAAAUUCUUGCCAACACUUUAUUAGGUUAAAUAAUUUUGCUAGUGUGAUAGAAGAAAAAUAAUAUAUCUGUGUUAUUUUAAUUUGAAUUUCUCUAAUACCAAGAGAGAAUUAGCAUAUUUUCACAUUUGUAUUUUGAGUUGGUUUUGGGAAUUGCUUGUUCUUGUAUUUUAUUCAUUUUAUCAUUGUGAUUUUUGUCUUUUUCUCAUGGAUUGAAGUUCUUUAUAUAUUCAGGAUAUUAUUUCUUUGUUGGAUAAUACAUUGCAAAAACCUUCUCUGGCUAACAUUUUAACUUUAUAUUAAAAUUAAAAUGUUUAUUUAAAAUUAAAUGUUCUUAAUGUGUCUUGUUUAAUCAAUUCUAAUGUCAUAAAUGUAUUUUCCAAAAUUUCAGAGGCUUGUUUUUCAUAUUUAGAUAUUUAAUGUAUGUGGGACUAAUUUUUGUUCCUGUUGUGAAAUAGUAAAUUUAAUUUUCUUUUCCUUAGGGUCACUUUUUGCUAAUAUAAUUUAUUAUAACCUCUGUAUUUUCCUCACUGGUUCAUAUACCACAUAUAUUAU